CGCUAUGGUGGGGUUCCAACUAGCUCAGUCGGGGCACCCCCUAAAGCGGUGCCCCGACUGAGCUAGUUGGAACCCCACCAUAGCGCCGUAUCAG
rnacentral:pre_miRNA from 1 species